UCUGACGGAGCAACGCCGCGUGAGUGAUGAAGGUUUUCGGAUCGUAAAACUCUGUUGUUAGGGAAGAACAAGUACCGUUCGAAUAGGGCGGUACCUUGACGGUACCUAACCAGAAAGCCACGGCUAACUACGUGCCAGCAGCCGCGGUAAUACGUAGGUGGCAAGCGUUGUCCGGAAUUAUUGGGCGUAAAGCGCGCGCAGGCGGUUUCUUAAGUCUGAUGUGAAAGCCCCCGGCUCAACCGGGGAGGGUCAUUGGAAACUGGGGAACUUGAGUGCAGAAGAGGAGAGUGGAAUUCCACGUGUAGCGGUGAAAUGCGUAGAGAUGUGGAGGAACACCAGUGGCGAAGGCGACUCUCUGGUCUGUAACUGACGCUGAGGCGCGAAAGCGUGGGGAGCGAACAGGAUUAGAUACCCUGGUAGUCCACGCCGUAAACGAUGAGUGCUAAGUGUUAGAGGGUUUCCGCCCUUUAGUGCUGC
rnacentral:rRNA from 1 species